ensembl:lncRNA
UGCAGGGCUUGAUCGAACCUUUCCUGUGCUGCAAUUUCCUGGAAGACCGCGGUGUGGCCGUCCACUUCUGCAUGACCUUCUCAGAACGGCCCCGACGCGGAAAGUUGAACUUGACCUUUAACAAAGGUUCGAGCUCGUGGCCAAAAAAUUCCGCGCCCCACAGAGAGAGGGUAGAAGAGGCAAGACGUGGGGCGUUGGGUUCAAGGCACAGACGGUCCCAUCGCCAGCAGCCGAGCGGUCGAGCCUGGACCCCCAUUCCCCCCGCCCAACCCUCCGUGGUCGCCCCACGCAGGCCCAGCAGGACCCUGGCCAGACACCCAAGGCCAGAGUGGGUCUCCCUUACUCUCCUUGGCGGUGGCCACGCCUUGUCUACACUGACGCUGAAGGACGUGGUUGUAUAUCCUACUUGGAGGUCCUACUGGGUGUUUUAUGUGGGACGCCGCCUCAGCGUGGCCUCAAGAGCAGUGCCAGGUCCGCGCCCAGGAUCCGAACCGGCCAGCCCCGGGGCCACCUAAGCAGAGUGCACGACCUGCAGCGCUCAGCCGCGGGGCCGGCCCCGCCAUGGGGCUCUUCUGGGACGUGAGUCUGGAAGGCCAGGAGCUCGCUGACUGCAGACGGGUUUCCCAAUUCUCCGCGAUGAGCACACCCCACAGGAAGGGGGAGGGAAUUAAGGAGAAAAAGGAAGGUUCCGGGUCGUCGAGAUGUCUGUGCCGUGCAAUCCUCGCGCUCACUCUGACGACGGGGGGCGGGGGGCGGGCGGGGGACAGACGGGCCCAGAGACACCGGCCAGAUGUCGGCGCGUCAGGAAACACAGCCCAGGAGAGCCGGCUGACGGACGCGGGCCCGGUGCUGCGCGCUCGGGGUAAGCCGAUCCCCUUCCCUUCCUUCCGUGGUCUUCCCCGCGGUCCGUGCUGCUGGGGCUGGAGGCGAGGCCUCCGGGCGGGUGAGGACCCGAGGGUGGGCCAUGCGAGCGACCGGAGGAAGGAUGCUCCGUGCAAGACGGUCACUGGGGGCUGCCCUGAAUCCAGCUCCGAAUUCGCCCCGGGAAUUACCCAGCAUGCAUCUGCAGCCGGCGGAGCUCCCCCCCCCCCACCCCGGGGUGCCCGUGCAUGUCGGAAACGGCAGCCAGCUUGCACCCCCGUCCCCAGGCGUGUGCACGUGGUCCCCCCCAAACCCCGGAGGGAGGAGACGGGGGUCCCCGCCUCCUGGGGGCUCGUCCUGCCAUCCGUCGAUCCAUCUGAAAGUCGCUUGCAAACAAGUGUGGCCGGCCUGGCUGGGAGGUGUGUCAUUGGGGCCUGCCGGUGGUGUUCCAUGCCCCACCCCACCCCCCCACCCAGCAUGGGGAUUUGAACCAGCAGCUGGGUGUCAGAUGCCACCCAGACCCGCAGAGUCUGAGUCUGCGUGUCCCGGCGGCCACCCCAGGUGUUUGUUGAGCGCUUUCAGAUGGGGCAUCGAGGCCCAGCUGGCGGGAGCCGAGCGUUUUCAUGCCAGCCCUGUGCCUCUAGGAAGCUCACAGCUAGAAAAGCAGAAGGAAAACCUGGCGAGGGGUGAGCACAGAAAGAAGAAGAGAAAGCGGGAGGCCCUGGGUCCCGGAGGCCACAAUGUAGGUUGUGUGCCGUGGAGACGAAGCGGGUAGAACGGGCCGUUCCAAAACCAGGAGGCCGAUUCGGGGGUGUCCAGGGGCCGGGAGGCAGAUUGGGGGGUGACCGCCGAAUGGGGACGGAAAUGGAAAUGGGCUGGAGCCACACGGGCGAGAUGGUCGCACAACCCGGCGAACGUGGCUGAAUUGCGCGCUGCAAGAGGGUCCCCUUGGGGCCCUGUGCAUUUUGCCUCUAUUUUAAAAAAAAAAAAUGAAGGCAAAAAAAAUGAAUAAAUAAAUGAGAAAGAGCAAUGAGAUCUCCCUAGACGUCCCACAUAUAAAGUAGACGAAGAUGGGCAUGGAUGUGAGCUCAGGGUCAGUCUUCUUCAGCAAAAAAAAAAAAAAAAAAAAAAAGAGGAGGAGUGGCAGCAGAUGUUAGCUCAGGGCUAAUCUUCCUCACCAGAAAAAAAAAAAAAGAGCCCUGUGCUAUGAAUGACCGUUUGUUUAAAACAGCCGCCCUGGCAUAGCGUCGCUGUGCCUGGCGCCAGAACGUCAAGCGUCUCUGGGGCCUUAGAUCACUGCGGUGGUUUUUUUUUUUUUUUUUUGAAAAACCAAGUUUACAGAAGUGGGUGUUUUUGCUCCAUCAGGAUGAGCAAGAAGCAACCAGGGGGAGUUCAGCCAAGAGGAAGCAGAAUGGGGAACCGUGUCGGCGAGGGUGGAUCUCCUGUGGUCAUGGGGGGGGGGGGGUCGCUCCCUCGGAGUUGGGACGCGGCCGUGGGGCCCAGCUGGAGGGGGGGGUCGGUCCGCGAAGCAGGUGCAACCAGAGGUGUGGACCCGACAGGCUCCCGGGGCGAAGGGAAGGACGGGGACGGCAGCCGCUGGAGACCUAAGACGUCUCCGAAGUGGGGGUGUCCCGUCCCCCCCCCUCGGCCGGCCAGCUGGGGCAGCUCGGCUGCAAGUGCAAAGGUCCUGGGGCAGAUCGCAGAGUGAACAGCCGGCCAGGGGCAGGACAGGAAGGGCAAAGGGGAUCGUGCAUCCGCGGGGAGGAGGGAGGGACCCUCCCCUGGAGCCUGCGGGGGGUGGGGGUGGGGGUGGGGGGAGCCCGACCCUGCAACCCUUGACCUCAGAGUCCUGGUGGCAGUUGUUUGAGGCCCGCCCCCCCAGUGUGGGGGGUUUGUGAGGGCCGCCACCAGAGACUGACACACACGGGGGUGGAGAGACCAGCAUGACGGUCCCCAAGCCCUCACACAGGGGUUCCGCCCCCUCCCCCGCCGCCCAGGUCUGGGGGGACCCCAUGCGCGUCCAGAACUCAGGCCCCCUCCUGGACCGGAGGCGGCGUGGACGUUUCCCCCCCCCACCCAGGCCCCCACCCCGUGUGCAGAGAAGCCCGAGGAGCCCCGGAGGGAGGAGGACGGCGCGGCGAGGCGGGGCGGGUGCAGCCGGCAGGUGGAGGAAGCGGGCGUUUCCUCCCCACCAGGGGGGCCGGGAGGCGGGGCAGUUGGAGCGGGUCUGGGGUGUGGGGUGUGGUUGGGACCCUCUCUCCAAUCGCGAGGGAGGUUCCCCGGGGGGCGGUGGUGGCGGGGGGCGCAGGGAUCUGAGGGUGCACGGGGGGGCCGCCCAGGUGCGCGCGCACCUGGAGGGGGAGUGCGGUCGGAGGGCGCAGCGCGGGGCUGCAGGUGCUGCAGGGUUUGGGGUUUAGACGGAGCCGGUGUGACCCUCCCUGGGCGGGGUCAAAGGGGAAGGAGGCGGGUUGGUGGAAGUCACGGGAAAAGGUGCGGGGGAGACAGAAAAGAGGGUCGGGGAGUGCGGUGAGUGAGGGGUGUCCGGGGGCGCGAGGAGGGUCGCGGUGUGGACGGGCCUCGGAGAGGAGGCCGACCGGGUGAUGACGGGUCGGGGGCAUUGAGUGCCAGGUGGAGGCGGGCGGGGGGAGUGCGGGUCUUGGCGGAGGGAGGGGGCUCACGGGGAGGCGGGAGGCCGGUGUAGACGCCGACGUCAGCCCGGGUGACACCGACGAUGGGCGUGCAUCCAGGAGGGGAGGCCUGGGGAGAGCGAGGAGCGGGGCUCAGAGGUCGGGGGGUCGUCAGAGGUGGGGGGCCCUGCGGUUGACCCCUGACCCAGGGUGGAGCCGGGCUGCGGGGGAGCCCGGAUGUGCUGAACUGGACACGCGGGACAGGGAGCAGCCGUGUCCUCGGGCGGAGCCGAGUUGCACCUGAGUCAGGCGGGUCGAGGACGCGGGCGGGUGAAGACAGGACGGGCUGUGAGGACCAGGAAAUGGGGGUCCGAGGAGCGGCAGGGGUGCGGGCGGGACAGCGGGGCCUCCAACGGGCAGACACAACACGGGAGGAAGGGAGGAAGGAAUGGAGCAGGGGGGUGGCUCUGAGGGAGGAAGGAGGGGUUGGAAGAUGGGGGGUGGAAGGAAAGAAGGAAAGAUGGAUCGAUAGAUGGAUGUAUAGACGGAUGGAUGGAUGGAUAGAUGGAUGGAUGGAUGGAUAAAUGGAUGGAUAGAUGGAUGGAUGGAUGGAUGGAUGGAUGGAUGGAUAGAUGGAU